ACUCAAAGGAAUUGACGGGGGUCCGCACAAGCGGUGGAACAUGUGGUUUAAUUCGACACUACGCGAGGAACCUUACCUGGGCUUGACAUACACACGACCGUCUCAGAGAUGAGACUUUUUAAGCUUCGGUUUAGACGUGUGAACAGGUGCUGCAUGGCUGUCGUCAGCUCGUGUCGUGAGAUGUUGGGUUAAGUCCUUUAACGAGCGCAACCCUUGCUGUCAGUUGCAAUUGCCUUUUUAGGUAAAGCACUCUGGCGGGACUGCCUGGGAAACCAGGAGGAAGGUGGGGACGACGUCAAGUCAUCAUGGUCCUUAUGUCCAGGGCUACACACGUGUUACAAUGGCUAAGUACAAAGGGAUGCUACAUCGCAAGAUGAUGCUAAUCUCCAAAAUUAGUCUAAGUUCAGAUUGGGGUCUGCAACUCGACCCCAUGAAGUUGAAAUCGCUAGUAAUCGCAUAUCAGAACGAUGCGGUGAAUACGUUCUCGGGCCUUGCACACACCGCCCGU
rnacentral:rRNA from 1 species